AUGGAAUCGAACACUAAAAGGAUUGGAAUAGGGAGAAAAUUAGCCCCUUUAACAAUCUGGCAAUACACCGUGAGAAAAAGCUGUCACUUAACAGCAAAAAAAAGACAAAAUUUGUAAAAAUGCCAACAGGUACAUUUUUGUUACCAAUCAACGAAGAAACAGCUUGACAGGUAGGUAACAAAAAACAAUGAAUACAGUGGUUGUCAAGUUUUGCAACACCCGUGGUAACUUGAAACUUUAGCCUAAACUGUCAGAAAUUCUAAGAGAAUUUUAGAUAUUAGAUGAAAAUAGCUGAAAUGAACAAUAUUAAUCACUUCCUGAAUUCCUGAUAAUUCACACUUUGGUGAAUAACCUUGUAUAUAUUUUUAUGGUCUGAUUGUAAGUUUACACUUAGAUGUUUAUUAACAGAUAUUUCAAUUUAACUGAAGAUCUGCCUUGCGAAAUUGAGGAUAAAACAGUAGCAUUGUAAAGAAUUUUGUUAGUGAGUUUUCAAGUCAUCAUAAAUCUUGCUGUUUGGUGAAUAUAAGUGGUUUUUGUGUUUGUUUUGUGACUGUAUUUUAAAUGUUGCAUGCAAUGCUUUGGCUAAGUUGUCCUGAACGUAGUUCUGGUUUGUUAACAAGGUUUGUGGGUUAGUGUUUUAAUUUUAGUGCUCUAGAGCAGGCUUCCCAAAACUUCCGGCCCUCCAGAUGUUGCUGAACUACAACUCCUAUGAUUCUCAGCCUAUCUAUUUCAUUCAUAGAAUCAUGAGAGUUGUAGUUUAGCAACAUCUGGAGGGCCGGAGUUUGGGGAAGCCUGCUCUAGAGGGUUAAUUCAAGCAUCAUAACCACUACAGUAAUUUGAAGUGGUCAUGGCGCCUGGAAUCUGUAUGUACACAAUUUGAUGUGAAGCUUUGCACAUACAGAAAUUAACCCCUUAGCUGCCAGAUGUGUAACUCCACCUUUGGCAGCUAACCAAAUAGGAACAGGCUUUCAAGAUAGACGAUGAAGGCCUUUCACAGUCAAAACGUCAGCAGUCACGGCAGGCUGGCAUCAGACAGACAAUGGUGGCACGGUCGCAUCUAUGCCACCCUUGCCCUGCUCUCAGUUAGAGGCAGUCGUCCCUGACUGCCCUCCCCCUCCGUGAAAAUACAUUUUUAAAAAGAAAUUCAUUAUUUUUAAUAUGAGCCAAAGAGGCAGUGUAUGCAUCAAAUGUAAUCUGUAAUAAACAAUUACAUGAGCCAAUCUAAGUGGGCAAAGUAGUAUCUCACAAUAUCAUGUGCCAUCUUGACUGUGCCGGUGGCUCAUAUUAGUUUUAACUAAUAUUUAAAUGAUAAACUAGGAUGAAUAGGGAAGGGGAAUGAAGAGGGGACCGGGAUACCCACCGCGAUGGGGAUCUUACAUUGAAAUCAUGCUUCCUAACUAUAAAGAUGCAUCCACACUUUUUCAAAAGAAGGGACGGUGUUAUAUAAUGGUGCCAUCCAGUGGUCCGUUACAUGAUUUUCUUGAAGCUCGGCCCUCAUUUCAUUAAUUAGUGGAACUGACGUCCCUGGCCAAUUGCAAUAUUUUUUAAAUGUGCUCUGGAAACUACACCAUUGAAUUCUACAUAGAAAAUCACCUAUAAAAUGUGUUAACCUAUUUUUUGCACGUCAUGCUUCCUUGUCUUUUAAAUUUUUAUUAAAGAUUAGCAAUUGACGUCACAAUCCAGUUUCAUCUAAGCACAAUCAGAGAACAUAAGUAUUGGAGAAGCCGAUACAGAAACAUUGUUUAAUUUCUCCUCUUGUCUGGAUGCUUAUAAGAGAGGACAGAGCUUAUAACAAGGAUUGACAGGGAGCUAAGGUGGAGGCGCUCUGUUCAGUGAUAAAGAUAUGUGGAUUUCUACAUUUAUUUAAUAUUUUUCACAUUUUACAAAUAUGUAUUUGUUAACUAUAGGGAAUAUAUAUGUUAACUAUAGGGGAUGUAUAUUGUUAACUAUAGGGUCCGGUGGCCGGAGGGUGGGAAGGGGGGACAGGCAUACUUGAGUUUUACUUACCUGAACCACCUGUCACCGCCAUCCUCUUCCGUCUGCUCCACUUCAGCUGAUGUGAGUGCUGUACUCUUGCGCAUGCAUGACAGUACAGCAUUGAAGUCUAUGGAGAGACCAUUAGAUCCUCCAUGGAAAGAGUUUAAUUUCGGCUAGGGGAAAUGACAAGCUUGACGGCGGUAGCUCAGCCUGGUCUAAAGCUUUGUCAGCUAAAGGAAAAACACUGAGACAAAGUAGUCCUUACUUUGUCUCAGUAUAUCUUUUCACUGGGUUGGAAUUUUAAUAGUCAUGAAGAAAGUUACAUCGAGAUUAUUGAUACGUUGGGAAUCGUCAACCCUGGUCUGGAGGCACCAUGGAUGAAAAUUUUAGUGAGGGCUACUCAAUUUUAUGUAUAUUGAAUUGGGUUGAAAUUUCAGUGACAUUCCAACACAGUCAAUCUGAGUAUUUCAUAAAGAUUCAUAAACAUUCUGAUGCUUUAAGGAUAACUUGCAUGUUUCUUGAUUUUGUAUUCAUUAUAACAGGAGACUUAUCAAGGCCAAAAACUGCUAUUCUGGGACAAAGUGUUAAAUAAGAACAAAUACGUCAUUAAAUAUUUAACAUUUUGCACCCAGAAUAGCACCUAUUUUAUAUUCAUGGUUUAACUUUGCCAGGAAAUGAUGAAGUAAGAGAAAACAUACAUGCAUAUUGAUAUGACUGAGUCAAUUUAUUUGGUAUAUCACUCAAUGGACCAAUUCGAAAUUUAGAUCCGAAAAGUAGAAACAAACUUUUUAUUAAGAAACCAUCAUGAGUGCACAGUGUGUUGUGUUGGUUUUGGCGCCAGGAGUCCCAGAGUGCCGUCUGAUGGUAAUCUGUAAAAACAUUUACAAAGGUUUGACAUUUAGUUGUCUUGGUAGGGUUCAUAUCGUCCUUCUGAGCUGAGUUCAUCUGAUAAUGUAGAAGUUAUAACUGCUAUAUUUUUAUACCUACAGAUAAGGUUUGGACAAUCUUUGUUUGCUGAAAGUUCCAAUACCAGUGUCUGUCUUUAUUUCAAUGUUAGCCUCUGUCUCUAUUUCAAUACUAUCUUUUCCUCGAAAUUCGGUGCCAGACACCGUAUCUAUUUCCAUGCUAGCCUCUCUAUGUUAGUAUCUGUCUUUAUUUCAAUGAUAGCCUCUGCCGUUCUUUCCUCACCAUAGUGUUCCAGUCUGGUUCUGGUUUCUCUCUCUCUCUCUCUCGGCAGUCAGGGAGGUGCCAAAACGUUGGGGGUUUUGUGGCUAGUAUCCUGUCCUCUAUAUGUGUCUUAGCCUUUAUACACUGUUUCUUAGUUUUUGGUAACUUUGUAUAUAUAAUAUGUUUUUUAUUAAGCAUCCUUGAAUAAAGUAUUUAAUUUUAUGAAGCUAUUGCAUUGUGCAUCCUGAUUUUUGUAAAUAUAUAUAUGACUAUUUAAAGUAUUUAGGGGAGUGCCUAUUUAGGUUUGCACUUUGUGUACUUUUGAGUUAUAUGGUAUACCCUCAAUGCGAUAUUGUUGUUGCAAUAUGUAUGGUGGAACAUAAGACAUGAGAGCGUGACAGAGAUGGUGGCCACAUGUGAUGACUUUCGUAAAUGUAUGUGGCCCAUCAUCGCCGCUUUUGAAACUUGGUGUUCUAGGAGUUAUUAGUAACUAGCAAAAUUUAAAAGACAAAUACCAUGUCACAAAGAAUAUACAAAGCAUCAUUACCGCUACAGCCUACCGUAGUGAUUACGGUUCCACGACUGCCCUGGCAUUAUCUCACGGUAAGAUGUGAAAUCUUUUUAGUAUUGUUUAACAACUUUCUGGAUCCCACCAGGCUCUCUGCACCACAUCAGGACUUCUCUAACAGUAAAAAACAGAUCUCUUUAGAUCAAAGCAGGAACCGCGCUCAUUGACUGAGAACGUCAGCUGAGCACGCUCGGCAAGUGAGUGUUUCUGCACCGGUCCUGCUUUGCUCUAAAGAGAAUUCUGGCUUUUCCUGCUGAAGACGAAUGGAUGCUCUGGACACAUCACAGGCGCCUAGUGAAAUUCACGUGAAUUGUCCGAUAACAUUUUCACAUCUUACUGUAUGAUGGCUCUAAAGCACUCUCGGUGCCAUAACCACCACAGCAGGCUUUAAUGGUUCUGGUGCUUGGAGUGUUCUUUUAACUUUCUCGUUGACUAAUAAUACCAAACUUUACGUAUAUUUUGCACUCAAGCAAGGCAUGCAAAGAAAUGCAGACAGUAGGAGUGCUUGUGGGUAUCACUCUUCUCAUUGUUUUUCAUCUCUUCCCUUUUCCAGAUUAAAAAUAAAAAAGAGUUGUAUAAUGCAGCCUAGACAUAAGAAGAAAGCAAGACUGGUGAC